CAAGGAAUUUUCCACAAUGGGCGCAAGCCUGAUGGAGCAACGCCGCGUGCAGGACGACGGCCUUCGGGUUGUAAACUGCUUUUGGGGGUGAAGACAUCGACGGUAGCCCCCGAAUAAGCCUCGGCUAACUCUGUGCCAGCAGCCGCGGUAAGACAGAGGAGGCAAGCGUUGUCCGGACUGACUGGGCGUAAAGCGUCCGCAGGUGGUCGUGCAAGUGCGCUGUGAAAGCGGCCCGCUCAACGGGCCGAGGCCAGCACAAACUGCACGACUGGAGGUCGGGAGAGGUCGGUGGAAUUGCCGGUGUAGUGGUGAAAUGCGUAGAGAUCGGCAGGAACACCCAAGGGGAAGCCAGCCGACUGGCCCGCACCUGACACUCAGGGACGACAGCGUGGGGAGCGAACCGG
rnacentral:rRNA from 1 species